rnacentral:rRNA from 1 species
AUGGGGAAGGAGAAGACGGCAGCUCUGGAGCGGGCAAAGAAGGCGACUACGAGGUCGAAGGGGAAGGCGACCAGCUGGGGCGGAUCUUCCUCGCGGACCGGCCUGCCGAAGGGCUGGAUCCAGGGCGACUGGAUCCACUCGAGGAUCACCCAAGAAGACCUCGACGACCUGGCCGAAGGAGGGCUGAUCCCCUAUGACUCGGUGCGGCUUCCGGGGAAGGAAUCUGAGCCGCAACCUCGGGAGGGUGAGCGUGUUCUUCUUGCCACCCACGUCGACCGUGGAUUUUCCUUGCCUCCUCACCCUUUCUUUCGAGGGUUUCUGAACUUCUUUGGGGCACAACUCCACCAUUUUACCCCCAACUCAAUGGUUUAUCUCGCCGCUUUCAUUUCUUUGUGUGAGAAUUUC